rnacentral:rRNA from 1 species
CUCGUAGGUGGCUCCGUAAGUCAGAGGUGAAAUACAAUGGCUCAACCAUUGACGCGCCUUUGAAACUACGGAACUUGAGUUCGGGAGAGGAAAGUGGAAUUCCUGGAGUAGCGGUGAAAUGCGUAGAUAUCAGGAGGAACACCAGUGGCGAAGGCGACUUUCUGGACCGAUACUGACACUGAGGAGCGAAAGCUAGGGGAGCGAACA